GCAGUCCCUGUUUUUAAGUGAAAAAAACGUUUCGUCCGGGGUUGUAAAUAAAAAAAAACAGACACGAGCACGACUGCACGAGCUCUCCUCUCUCCCACGCCUCCUGAUCCCAGCCGCCAGGAGGCACGCGGCCCGUGCGGCGCUCGAUCCGGUGACGCGCCGGCCGCCGCCGACGCCGGCAAUCACAGCACCCUGCACCACCGUUCCACCUUAGCUCCUCAUCUUCCCCGCGUGCCCGAGCUCCUCCUCUCUCCCGCGUGCCCGAGCUCCUCGCUGUGUGCCGCUCGGGAGGGCUUGCGUUCGCCGCUCGACCAAAGCCACCGCGAGCUGGUCGUCGUUGCACUUGCUGGCGACCUGGCCGUCCCCUCUGCACCACUUUCACCUCAAAUUUGGACGCUCAUGUGCUUGUGGAUGUUCUCAGUUAUUUUUUGCACACAAGGUGUUUGUGUGUUUGUCUGAACCAGUUUCAGUCACAGAUCCUUGAGCUGACCUAAUUGAGCUAUCGGAGGUGUUGCGGUCUUUUAGCAAACAUGCCCUAUAUUCUAUGGUUUGGCAUCUACAGGAUGCCAUCUCUGGUCAUGGAUCCACUAUGGCUGCUUCGUCCUUCACUUAGGACCUUCUCACCCCCACAGAGAUCAGAGAGAAAAAUAUAUCUUGGAAGCAGGAACCCUUACCUCAUAAGAUGGGUUAUGACUAUGCCGUAGGUGACGUGCGGAAAGGCGACCAAAGAGUACAUGAAGAAUUCUUGCUAUCAACUAGGGCUGGAUGCCCCCAGGAAGAAUGCCGUGAGUCAACUUUAAUGACUAAUAUGUUAAUUUCUUCUAGCUACACAAUAUGAGAUAUUGCUUCUUAAUUAACGCUUACUGCUACGUAGUAAGAUGACAAUGGGAUUUUGUUUCUCGAGUUGGCACUCAGUAGUAAAAGUGGUUUAUACUUCAAAUAGUUGAGCAGAAAACUGGCGUGUCAUGGCUCCUAAUGUUACAGAGCAAGUGGACAGACUCUAUCCCCCCCCCCCCUCUCUCUAGACUUUGUUUUCUAGGUUUGGUUGGGUACAAAAGGCUAGAUUCUGGUAUAUAUUCAUUGAUGCAGAAGCUAGAAGCUCAUUGAUAUUAUUUUUCUUGCCAAA